CUGCUGGUGCAGCAUGAGGUAGGCCAGGACCAGUGUGGCUGAGCGGCUCACACCAACCACACAGUGCACCAGGACCUUAGCUGAGGAAGACAACUUGAUGAAAGACCCUUCCCACCAACCAUCCCAAUCUAGGGGCUGGGAUUGUGUCCAGAGAUGCCAGGCGUGGAAUGUCCACCCUCCAGCUUCAUUACUCUGCCACCAAGUUGCAGAUGCUACUAUGACACCAACCUGAUUUCCCUGGGCAGAGGACCUCACGAAUGUGUGCUGGAACCCCACCUCUCCAGAGCCCUGCUCCACUAGGGAAAGAUAGAAACAGGCUGGGAGUAUGGAUUGACUUGCCAAAACACAUGUUCAAUGGAGAAGCAAUUACAGAAGGCAAACGUUCCACCUUCUGCACCCCAUAAUGAUCCUGGGUCCAUAAUCCCAGAGGGAUAAAGAAUAGGAAAACUUUCAAAGGAGGGGAUGGGAUAUGGAGUUUUGGUGGUGGGGAUUGUGCGGAACUAUACCCCUCUUAUCCUGUGGUCUUGUCAAUAAAUUUUUAAAAAUUUGA